UUGUCCUUUAUCCGGCCUGGCCGACUGUUUUUUUCCGCCCGUGCGCACCUUUUCCCUUCUCUCUCAUCUCGCGUGCGCGGUGGCCCAGAGGAGCCACUCGCAGCUACCGCCGACGAGCAGCAGCCUCGAUCUCCCUCAGCUCGAGCCGCCGCAGCCUACCUCUGCCAUGGAUCGGUGCCUGCCUCGCCGGAGACCGCGCCCCAUGCCUCGACUGGCUCGGUGGCGUCCUCCUCAGCUCCAGCUGCGGCGCCCAGAUCGAUGCAGUGCCCAGCUUGUGGAGGGGGCAGGUCGACCUCCUCGCCGGCCAUCUCUACCCGAGCCUCGCCGCCAGACGGCUCACCGCGCAACGCUUCUCGCCUCCCUCUGGUUCCUCCCUCGCGCGCCUCCCCCGGCUCCACGACAUAGCAUCGAGCAGUACUAGUGACUCAUGGUAGAGGAACCCCCGAUGGAUUCAGGUUUCUUCCUGGCUGCGUUGAUUGAUUCGUGGAAUCUAGAACGUUGCAGAGUGCACAGCAGCUCACUGAAUAUCUGGGCUUGUGUUAUGUUCAUGCUGAAUAGAAUAGGUCGAUGUGGAUAACUUUUUCUUGUUUUUUUCGGAUAGAUGGAAACAAAAUUCUGAUGUCAGAACUUGAUGUUGUCGUGUAGAGAAAAGAAAAAACGAAAAAAGAAAAUAUUUGGGGGAGGAAUUUGGGGGACGCCAUUGGGUGACGAAGGGACACAAUUCCACUUGCUUCCCCAAAUGGAAAAAAAGAGGCUUUUUGCGGUACAACUUACUAGUGCCUCCAGAGAGUAGUAUUGUAACGGGUAUUUUGAUCAUUGAACGUUAGGCUAUCUUAAUUA